rnacentral:rRNA from 1 species
AUUGAACGCUGGCGGCAGGCCUAACACAUGCAAGUCGAACGAGUGGCGGACGGGUGAGGAAUGUAUGGGAAACUGCCUGAUGGAGGGGGAUAACUACUGGAAACGGUAGCUAAUACCGCAUACCAUCAGAUGUGCCCAGAUGGAAUUAGCUAGUUGGUGGGGUAACGGCUCACCAAGGCGACGAUCCCUAGCUGGUCUGAGAGGAUGAUCGACCGCACUGGGACUGUGACUCGGUCCAGACCCCUACGAGAGGCAGCGUUGGGGAAUAUUGCACAAUGGGAGCAAGCCUGCUGCAGCCGUGCCGCGUGUAUGAAGAGGGCCUUCGGUUUGUAGAGUACUUUCUGCGGGUAGGCGUUACCCAAAGAAGAAGGACCGGCUAACUCCGUGCCAGCAGCCGCGGUAAUAC